CCCUCGCCUUGAGCGAGGGACCGCCAGACGUGGCAUUGCCGCGGCCCAGGAGGGUGGGGCGGGAUCUUGGAGUCUCGCGGUGCACCUAGACGCUCCGGAUCGCGGCUUUAAAUCCGUGUGUGUUCCCAAACACUCGGGGAAAAUCAGAAGUGGCGACCAGCCGAUAAGAAAACUGGGUCAAAUGGAAAGAUGGAUGAUGUUUUUGGAUGGGAAGACUCAGUAACAUAAAGAUCUCAAUUUUCUGCAACCACCAGCUGCUGGCUCUAUCAGCCUGAAGAGUACAGUAAAGCGUUAUGUCUCUGACUGUUUGGAAAGCCAUUCGAGAAGCAAUCAGAAGGUUUUUACUGAACAACUGCUGUGGACUCGGUGCUGUGCUGGGCGACAGUGAAUAACAUGACUGUGGUGCGCCUCUGCCGAUAAGGCAUUGGCAGGCUGUUGAGGGAUCCCCAUUCCAUGCUCACGAUGUGUUUUAAUGAGCUGGGAGGAGAGACAGUGAUGCUGGGGUAGUAGACUUGAAGCAGGAUGCAGGCCAGGCCAGAG